GCAUAGAAUUACAGUUUGCUCCUUAAAUCAUUCCAGAACAUUUGGUCGUAUCCAAGAAGACAAGGUUCCGGAGUCUGGCACAGGCUUAGACACGACAAACGAAAAGGCUAGAAGUUUUACCGUCAUAGAUGCGGACACAACGAGGGAAUCUGACACUGGCCCUGAAUUUUCCGAGAAAACCGAUAAGCUCUACAGACAGGUGGAGAGUGAUGUUUAUUACGCAAGACAAUAUAUCUUGGCGCAGUUCCGACAAAUAAGUAAUCGGUUAACCAGCGAAGAUAACAAACAAUACCUCGCCGAUGAAAUUGAAAGUGUCAAACACCAUUUCAGCGUGACCCAAUCCGAUCUCUGGAAAUUCCGCAUCGAGUCCGGCCUGCAUGCAUGGCAGACACGAGAGUUAGAAAACUAAGCGACCUGGUACAGCACAGAAUCCAUGUGUUACAGAAUCCUGCAGACUGUAAACUUGCCAGGAAAAUGCUCUGUAAUAUACCUACGCUUCCAAAGUUUACAGUCUCAGACUCCUCUCCCCAUCUUCGGGGAUUGGGGAGUCAAUAUCACCACCUGACAUACUGCGCCCUUGCUGCAUACGGGACACAGAGAACGCUUAUAAUUAACGGGAUGGAAACGCACACGUUGGGUUUCGCCUUGGAAAACUUUUUUCUGCCUCCUAGUGAAAACUGCACCCGUACAGC
rnacentral:lncRNA from 1 species